rnacentral:tRNA from 1 species
GAAUAGCUCAGUCAGUAGAGCAUGAGACUCUUAAUCUCAGGGUCAUGGGUCCGAGCCCCACAUUAGGCA